ensembl:lncRNA
AAAUCUACUUCAAAUUAAUCUCAAGCCAACAUUUUUCAAGCUGAAUCUUGAGUGAGAGAGAUUUUUAGUUGAUACAAACCAGAGAAAAUUUAUGACAAAAUAUUGCUGGAAGUGUUGGAGGAGACAAUCUGCUGAAACGUUUGUUUCUCAUGACUGAAGUCAACAACUGGAAUGCUGUUUUCUUUAAUCAGUGGAUUCCUGAAGCCCUGCUGCAUCAGGAAAACAGCUGUACAUGGCUCCCAAAACAUGGGGUGUGCUCCUACAGGUCACCAUGUAGCUGCAGAGCACAUGAGGUUCUUACAGAGAAAUCAUAUGUGUGGAGGUGAGCCCUCAUCCAUCCUGCUGUACCAAGCCAGGGUCACUAUGUCUAGGCCAUUGCUGGCAGAUGCUUAUACACCUUCUUAACAGUGUAAAUGUCUGCAUCCUUCAGCCUCCUUGGACAGUCUGUUCCUGUGUUUCAUCUCUCUGAUGCUUUGCAAUUUUCUGUUAACAGCCAUCCUAGUUCUCCCUCCCUGGUAUUUUUGUCUGAUUCCCAGCAGACAUGGAAAGUAAGUCCUUGCUCCCCUGCAGGACCCUCCUAUGAAAGCUGUUACUCCCACCUCUGUUUUCCUUUUUCAUGAGUUAGCUGGCCCAUUUCCUUCCAUCUCUCCAUAGAGGCUCUUUUCUACACCUGUGGUCACUGCUGUUGCUGCCCUGUGGGUUCUUGCCAGCUGGAUCCCAUCUUUCUCGAUGAACGCAAAACUGAAUGCAGGGAUCCAACUGAAGCUUUGCCAGUGGGGAAGGUGAGGUUUAUUUUGUGUGUCUCACAUACAACUUCUCUAUUUAUGAAUUCCAGCAAACGCAAUGUCCUUUUGGCCAUCAGGAUAUUGUGGAGAUGUAGGCCUUAGGGGUACGCAGGUGAAGACAUGAGUGAAAUGGGGCCAACAACCGCCUGGAAAAUUCCAAUCUGAGCAGUUUUAAUGUUGACAAAAGCUGAAUACAAAAGAACUCUGUUGCAGCAACAGGAGCCAACAGUUCUGAACCAACUUCUGAACCAACAGUUUGCUGCUUGUAGAUUUCUUUUCCUCCCAUCAAUGCCUUCCGAUUUGGAGCUGAAAGACUUUAGGGGACGAACGCUGACAGCAGGGCUGUUUGCUAAGUGACCUCAGGGCAGUGACCCUAACGUUGUGCUCAGUGUCUCACUUCGCUCCCAGUGUGGCUGCAGUGGGAUGUGUGCUCUGGCAGUGCCAUCCCAUGGCUCCCUGGGGACCCUUUGAUGGCAGCAGAAGAGUUGAGCCAUGCACAGCCAUGGGGGGCACAUCUCCACGUUCCUUGUGCCCCAGCAUGGUACUGAACACAUGCAAGAGGUGAGGAAGCUUCCAGCAAAUGAACAAGGACAACAGCUGCUUGUUCUUCAGAUGUGAUGGCAGAGAACUUUGGGAGUGUACUGGGAAUUCCUGAUGUGCUGGGGUGUAAUGGCUGAAGUGAGGCCCUUUUAAAUUUUGCAUUACAGGGCCUGGGCUUUAACUGUUUGAUGUACCGAGGAAGGCAAAGGCAGGUAGCUGACACCUCCCUUGAAAUAAGAAUCUCUACGAUGGUAUUCCUGAAGAAUCUCUCUUAUUGUUAUUGAGUCACUUGGUGGGAUGGCAUAGCAUAAAUGCUGGGAAUGGGGAGUGCAGCCUCAUUUGUCAGGUACUGUAUGAGUCUCAGGGUUGGAAGAUUGCAGUUUGAGGAGGAGGACGACGGAAAGAUGAGGACAACAGUGGCACCAGCACAGAAGUGCCUCUGCGCACAGCAACCAUCCCCCAGCUGGUGACAGCUGUGACCCGUGUCAAGUAAGGCAUCUUGUUAGAAACAGGUGAUGAUGAUUUCUGGCUGCCACAGGUGCAGCUGGGUCCUGCUGAGUGUCCCUCCAGGCCUGGAGGGGGUACAGGUGGUGACUCCCAGACAGAUCUGCUGUCCUUCUCACAGCAGAGGGCCAAUGGGUUUUAUGGGAAAGCUGCAUUGUGGUUGCUUGUCCCAGAUAAAGCAUUUACCACAACUCUCAAUUCUGUGUUAUCAUGAGGAGUUUGGGCAGCAAAUGCUUUUUAGAGAACUCCAUUGCUAGCAGUUCAGAGAUGAGAGUAAACCUCCAUUUCUAAGUAGUUGCACUGCUUGGAUAUUUAAUCACACCAGAAAAUGGCAGUCUCAGGAGAGCAGGAGUGGUUGGGGCAGGUGUUGUGUUAUGGGUUUUGUCGUAAGGCUUUUGGGAACCUGGGUGCCCAAAUCUGAAGCAGUUGGAGGUAGGGAAUGGACUCAGCCAUGCUGAAAGGAGGCCUUCAGCCGGGGUCCUUAUGUAGUCCUGCUCUGAGCUCCCUGUGGGUACUGCUCUGCUCUCAGCAUUCUCCUCCUCUCCCACAGAGCUCAUUCGGGGUGGGUUUCUGCGGUGUUGUUGUGUUGUAGGAUUACAUCCAGUUUGCUCAUUUUGGUUAGUGAGUCCUGGGAGUUAGCAGGGAAAGGGCAGGCUGAGGAGAGCUCAUUGGAAUGCAUGGGGAGUGGUUCUGUCCCAUGUGAAGAUGUUUAAUCUGAGAAAGCCUUCAAGAAUGGCUUAAUGCAGCCUUCCGCAUCGCCCACAAACACUUCAGGGAAAAAACAGGGAAGGAGAAGAGUGUCAGAUAAGCUGCUUUAAAGUGAUCUUCAUAAUCCCGAGAAUUAAAAUCUAUUUUAUUAAAUACGUGUUGCAGAUGCCAAAUAACCCAAGUAAGGCUGGAAGUGACCCUUCCCAUGGGCAACUCAUGGGAUUUCUGCAGCCAUACCCAAGUGUCACCAAAAUCAGAGCUCCCCCCGCUCCCAGGAGAGGCCAGCCCCCAGUCCUGGCCAUGGCAUUAAAUAUCUGCUUGGAAGGGCCAUCCUUGUGUUACCCUGCAGCCGUAGGCAUGAGGCUUUCAACUCC